AUUGAACGCUGGCGGCAUGCUUUACACAUGCAAGUCGAACGGACGCGCGGGCUUCGGCCUGGUGGCGUGUGGCCGACGGGCGAGUAAUGAAUAGGAACGUGCCCUGCCGUGGGGGCUAGCACGGCGACAGGAGGCUUAAUAUAGCAUCCGACGAGAGUGUGAAAGCGGGGGUUCGAAAGGGAUAGAGCUACUUGCUCGGACGAAGUGGUAUUAGCUAGUUGGUGAGGUAAAGGCUUACCAAGGCGACGAUCCGUAGCUGAGCUGAGAGGACGACCAGCCACACUGGGACUGAGACACGGCCCAGACUCCUACGGGAGGCAGCAGUAGGGAAUUUUGGGCAAUGGGGGCAACCCUGACCCAGCCACGCCGCGUGCGGGAAGAAGGCCUUCGGAUUGUAAACCGCUUUUAUUCGGGAAGAAAACCUCUGUACUAAUACCCCGGGAGGUUGACGGUACCUAAAGAGAAAGCACCGGCUAACUACGUG
rnacentral:rRNA from 1 species